ensembl:lncRNA
AUCUGACAUGAACAGUUUAGCACAGCAUUGACAUGAUGGUAUCUGACAUGAACAGUUUAGCACAGCGUUGACAGUAUCUGACAUGAACAGUUUAGCACAGCAUUGAUGUGAUGGUAUCUGACAUGAACAGUUUAGCACAGCGUAGACAGUAUCUGACAUGAACAGUUUAGCACAGCGUUGAGGUGAUGGUAUCUGACAUGAACAGUUUAGCACAGCAUUGACAGUAUCUGGCAUGAACAGUUUAGCACAGCAUUGACAGUAUCUGAC